CCGUCACACCAUGGGAGUCGGAUAUGCCCGAAGCCAGUGACCCAACCGUAAGGAGGGAGCUGUCGAAGGUGGAGCCGAUAACUGGGGUGAAGUCGUAACAAGGUAGC
rnacentral:rRNA from 1 species